UGUCCGUCAUUAUGCGUACGUGAUGAUGUUUGAUUAGUGGCAGGAAGUGACGGCACGCGUUGCGAAUGGCUCGAAGUUCUAGUACAUUUAUGUGCAGGGAGGUCUCGGUUGGUGACCAUAGUCCCUGUACUGUGUGAUGAGACAUAUGUGCACCCCACCCUGUCAUAGAUGCAUCGGUGGUCAGAAUGCGUGAUGGAGCCUGUUGAAGAAACGGGACUCCAGAACAAAGGUUGGAGUGGACGGUCCACCAACGUAGCGAGUCUUUGACUGGAGUAGGCAGGGAGAGAGUCUUGUUUAAAGAAUGCAUAUUCGGUUUGUAAACCGUUGCCAGCCACGCUUGGAAGCACCUCAUGUGUAGGCGUGCAUUCUGGACGACAAAAGUGCACGAGGCCAUGUGACCUAGUAGUUGCAGGCAGUCUCGGGCAGUUACCUGAGGGCUGUUGCGAAUAGUUGUGGUCAGUUGUUUUAUGGAAUUGUAGCGAUCGGGUGGGAGCGAUGCUAGCCCGGUCCGAGAGUCGAGGUCUGCGCCUAUGAACUGAAGGUGCUGGGUGGGGCGUAAUGUGGAUUUGUCUUUGUUUAUUUGUAGGCCGAGAGAAAGAAAGCACUCGACUGUGAGUCGUGUGAACCGGAGCGCCUCGUCGAAUGUUGAAGCUUUGAGGAGGCAAUCGUCGAGGUGUCUGGAGACCUAAAGACCGGAGGGUUGUUCUGGAGUCUUUCAUUGAAUGAAGCACUUCAUUCGUGUUAGCAGCAAAGAGUUUGUCACCGUCGAAGGGAAGAUCUUCAAUUGUGUUCUGAACUUCGCGAGGAAAAAAGGAAGAGGAGAGCCAUGAGCCCCGUCGCAUGACUAUCGCUGUAGCGGUAGAUCUUGCCGCUGUGUUGGCUACAUCGAGGGCUGCUUGGAGAGCGGUGCGUGAAAUGGCUUGGCCCUCAGAAACUAUAGCUCUGAACUGUUGUUUUCUUUGUUCUGGAAUGUCAUCAAUAAAGUCCAUUAACUUAUA